UACGUAGGGGGCAAGCGUUGUCCGGAAUCAUUGGGCGUAAAGCGCGUGUAGGCGGCUUGGUAAGUCCGCUCUGAAAGCCCGGGGCUCAACCCCGGGAGGCGGGUGGAUACUGUCAAGCUCGAGUCCGGAAGAGGCGAGUGGAAUUCCUGGUGUAGCGGUGAAAUGCGCAGAUAUCAGGAGGAACACGAAUGGCGAAGGCAGCUCGCUGGGACGUGACUGACGCUGAGACGCGAAAGCGUGGGGAGCAAACAGG
rnacentral:rRNA from 1 species